GGUCAAGCUAAUAAGGGCUUACGGUGGAUACCUAGGCACACAGAGGCGAAGAAGGACGUGGUUACCGACGAUAUACUCCGGGGAGUUGGAAGCAAACAUUGAGCCGGAGGUUUCCGAAUGGGGCAACCCUAAAUACUACCUGUUGAAUAUAUAGACAGGAAAGAGCCAACCCAGCGAACUGAAACAUCUUAGUAGCUGGAGGAAGAGAAAUCAAAAGAGAUUCCCUGAGUAGUGGUGAGCGAAAGGGGAAAAGCCUAAACCAAAGGAUUUAUCCUUUGGGGUAGUGGGACAGCGAUAUCGAAUCUGGCGGUUAGACGAAGCAGCUAAAUACUGCACCAAAGAAGGUGAAAGUCCUGUAGUCGAAAACUCAAGGAUAGUAGCUGAAUCCCGAGUAGCAUGGGGCACGAGGAAUCCCAUGUGAAUCAGCGAGGACCAUCUCGUAAGGCUAAAUACUACUGUGUGACCGAUAGUGAACCAGUACCGCGAGGGAAAGGUGAAAAGAACCCCGGAAGGGGAGUGAAAUAGAACAUGAAACCGUAAGCUUACAAGCAGUGGGAGGACGAUUGAACGUCUGACCGCGUGCCUGUUGAAGAAUGAGCCGGCGACUUAUAGGCACUGGUAGGUUAAGGCGAGAAUGCCGGAGCCAAAGGGAAACCGAGUCUGAAAAGGGCGCUCAAUCAGUGUUUAUAGACCCGAACCCUGGUGAUCUAACCAUGGCCAGGAUGAAGCUUGGGUAACACCAAGUGGAGGUCCGAACCGACUGAUGUUGAAAAAUCAGCGGAUGAGCUGUGGUUAGGGGUGAAAUGCCAAUCGAACCAGGAGCUAGCUGGUUCUCCCCGAAAUGUGUUUAGGCGCAGCGGUAAUGAUUAAAUCUGGGGGGUAAAGCACUGUUUCGGUGCGGGCUGGGAGACCGGUACCAAAUCGAGACAAACUCAGAAUACCCAGAGAACACAUUGCCAGUGAGACAGUGGGGGAUAAGCUUCAUUGUCAAGAGGGAAACAGCCCAGACCACCAGCUAAGGUCCCCAAAUCAUCACUAAGUGAUAAAGGAGGUGGGAUUGCAUAGACAACUAGGAGGUUUGCCUAGAAGCAGCCAACCUUAAAAGAGUGCGUAAUAGCUCACUAGUCAAGCGAUCCUGCGCCGAAAAUGAACGGGGCUAAGUGAUGUACCGAAGCUGUGGGAUUAAUCUAGUAUUAAUCGGUAGGGGAGCGUUCCGUAUUAGGUAGAAGCAGUAGCGGCGAGCAGCUGUGGACGAAACGGAAGUGAGAAUGUCGGCUUGAGUAGCGCAAACAUUGGUGAGAAUCCAAUGCCCCGAAACCCUAAGGGUUCCUCCGCCAGGUUCGUCCACGGAGGGUUAGUCGGGUCCUAAGGCGAGGUCGAAGGGCGUAGUCGAUGGACACAGGGUGAAUAAUCCCUGACUACUAUGUGGGAGCAUUGCGAGGGACGCAUGAAAGAUAGCCAUACCCUGAUUGGUUUGGGAGGAGUUUACGAACUCCGCGUGGUGAAGGAUAGUGUCAAGAAAAGCUCGUAAUGUGAUGAAAACAUAGUACCCGUACCCGAAACCGACACAGGUAGGGAGGUUGAGAAUACCAAGGGGCGCGAGAUAACUCUCUCUAAGGAACUCGGCAAAAUGGCCCCGUAACUUCGGGAGAAGGGGUGCCCACCUCAGACGUGGGUCGCAGUGAAGAGAUCCAGGCGACUGUUUACCAAAAACACAGGUCUCCGCCAACUCGAAAGAGGACGUAUGGGGGCUGACGCCUGCCCAGUGCCGGAAGGUUAAGGAAGUUGGUCAGGGGUUCGCCUUGAAGCUGACGACCGAAGCCCCGGUGAACGGCGGCCGUAACUAUAACGGUCCUAAGGUAGCGAAAUUCCUUGUCGGGUAAGUUCCGACCCGCACGAAAGGCGUAACGAUCUGGAUGGUGUCUCAGAGAGAGACUCGGCGAAAUAGGAAUGUCUGUGAAGAUACGGACUGCCUGCACCUGGACAGAAAGACCCUAUGAAGCUUUACUGUAGCCUGGAAUUGUGUUCGGGCUUCGCUUGCGCAGGAUAGGUGGGAAGCGAAGAAGUAUCCCUUGUGGGGGAUAUGGAGCUAACGGUGAGAUACCACUCUGGCGAAGCUAGAAUUCUAACCCAUGACCGUAAGCCGGUCAGGGAACAGUUUCAGGUGGGCAGUUUGACUGGGGCGGUCGCCUCCUAAAAAGUAACGGAGGCGCGCAAAGGUUCUCUCAGCACGCUUGGAAACCGUGCGGCGAGUGUAAAGGCAAAAGAGAGCUUGACUGCGAGAGAUACAACUCAAGCAGGGACGAAAGUCGGCCUUAGUGAUCCGACGGCACAGCAUGGAAUGGCCGUCGCUCAACGGAUAAAAGUUACUCUAGGGAUAACAGGCUGAUCUCCCCCAAGAGUCCACAUCGACGGGGAGGUUUGGCACCUCGAUGUCGGCUCAUCGCAACCUGGGGCGGAAGUACGUCCCAAGGGUUGGGCUGUUCGCCCAUUAAAGCGGUACGUGAGCUGGGUUCAGAACGUCGUGAGACAGUUCGGUCCAUAUCCGGUGCAGGCGCAAGAGCAUUGAGAGGAGCCUUCCUUAGUACGAGAGGACCGGGAAGGACGCACCGCUGGUGUACCAGUUAUCGUACCAACGGUAAACGCUGGGUAGCCAAGUGCGGAGCGGAUAACCGCUGAAAGCAUCUAAGUGGGAA
rnacentral:rRNA from 1 species